rnacentral:tRNA from 2 species
GCCCCUGUAGCUCAGAGGAUAGAGCAGCGGUUUCCUAAACCGCUUGCCCGGGUUCGAGUCCCGGCAGGGGUACCA